AGGGGGCGGAAGUUUUUCCGCGGGGCGUGGGGCGGGGGGUUGCGACGACUCCAGCCUCAGUCCUUGUAGCCGAGGUUGAAGCGCCCUGGAGAGACGUCGGGGAUCCCGUAGGCCCUGCUACUCAGUGCCCCGCACGUUUCUGUACCUCUCCUAAAAAAGCAGAAUUGGAUUUGCAACGGACAUGAAGGUUCCCUGAAGAACAUGUGAAAGUGCUUCUGCCCAGGAGAAGGGAUGUUCAGGCAAGCCCUUGACUGGCUGAGCUCAACAACUAUGAUGCUUCCUUGGUCAUCUCCAGGUUCAUUUCGACUCAAGACUCCUUCCUAGUGAAACUACGUAUCCUAUCCCAUACUGCCUUAGCUCCGGAAGGCCAGAGAAAAAGCCAACGAUCACAAGUGACAAAUCUCGAGGGGCUCUGGGAAGCAACUGACGGGAGAACCCAGGAAGUUUCCUGGAGAAAUACAAAUUUAAAAACCAUUUUAAAAAUAAAGUAGUAUGGGGCGCCUGGGUGGCUCAGUCGUUAAGCGUCUGCCUUCGGCGCACGUCAUGAUCCCAGGGUCCC